AUUACUUUGUUCUGUUCUCAUAGAUGUGUCUAUUUCCUAUUGAAAGUUUGUUAUUGUUUCAUGUAGGCAAUGAAAAUUGUGUUUCAGUGUGGAGUUUCUCAGUUGCCACAAUGGUGGAGAAUGAUACUGAGAUAUAUGGUGAGCCAUAUAGACGAACUCCAUAUCGAAGGGUUUUGCCAACUAAGUGUCCGGUUGCCUUUCUUUAUGUAAUAUCUUAAAUUUUUAUAAAAAAAAAAAAAAUAAAUAAAUAGGAAACAAAGUUUUCUCAUUUUAAUUUUCUUCUUCUCUCUUCUUCCUUCCUCAUUUUCUCUUCUCUGUUCUUUUUGCCCGAAAACAGAGACAGCGAGAGGGAGUGAGUGAGACUGAGAUGAGAGAUCGAGGGAGAGAGUGAGAUUGAGAGAUGAGAUCAGAGAGUGACAGAGUGAGAUCGGGAGAGAGGAUCCGGUGGAUCCGUGAGAGAGAGAGAGACCGAACGGAGAGGGAGAGAAAUCGGGAAGAUCGGACCCGAUCUUCCGGUGGGCGAGCUGGGUGACGCCGGCGAGACCAGGGAACGCCGGUGAUGCGAUUUCCGACGAACCCGUGGGCUAAAACCCAUCAACCCAGGAGCUUGGACCCGCGACCCAAACCCGACAGAUCCGGGAGAACCCGUGCGACUUGAGCCUUCCGGAGGUCCUCCAUGUCCGGCAGCCAGAUGCCGAUUUCCGGCGGGCUAAGGCGAUUUUCCGGCCGAUCCACGGAGACCCGUCAGAACCGAGAGGAAGACCCGGUUCUUCCUGUGCGUUUUCCGGUGGCUUUUCCGGCGGAAUCGGUGGCUUUUCCGGUGGAUUUUCGGAUUAAAUCCUCAAGAUAACACAGUAAGACGGAGUCGUUCCUUUGUAAUGGCGUAGACCUCGCUAAAAGCAAUAAUUCAUUGUAGAUCGACCAAACUUUUACUUUGUAUAGUAUGUCUCUUAUUCAAAUUCAUGGCGUUGUAAAGAUUUAUUAUUAGACAGAAAUAAUAUAAUAAGUAGUACAAUCUAUAUGUUUUAAA